rnacentral:rRNA from 1 species
GCCUGACCGAGCGACGCGCGUGGAGACGAGGCCUUCGGGUUGUAAACUCUGGUCGAGGGGGAAGAAGGGUCGAAGACCUUGACUGAUCCCUGGAGGAAGCACGGGCUAAGUUCGUGCCAGCAGCCGCGGUAAGACGAACCGUGCGAACGUUAUUCGGAAUCACUGGGCUUAAAGUGCGUGUAGGCGGAGGGCACGUCCGUCGCUGAAAUCCCCCGGCUCAACCGGGGAACGGGCGCGGAUACGACCUUCCUGGAGGGGGCGUAGGGGGACCUGGAACUUCCGGUGGAGCGGUGAAAUGCGUUGAGAUCGGAAGGAACGCCCGUGGCGAAAGCGAGGUCCUGGACGCCUACUGACGCUGAGACGCGAAAGCCAGGGGAGCGAACGGGAUUAGAUACCCCGGUAGUCCUGGCCGUAAACGAUGGGCACUGGGUAGGGGGCUCGCCGAUGGGCUCCCUGCCGUAGGGAAACCGUGAAGUGCCCCGCCUGGGGAGUAUGGUCGCAAGGCUG